rnacentral:ncRNA from 12 species
AUUAUCUGAGGACAGAACGGGCAUCUGUCGCCCUUUGUUGGAGAUGUAGGAAUGUCACCUACCUAUAAU